CCGCCCGUAGCUCAGCUGGAUAGAGCGUCGCCCUCCGGAGGCGAAGGUCUCAGGUUCGAAUCCUGACGGGCGGG
rfam:Marinobacter sp. T13-3 scaffold_60, whole genome shotgun sequence.